AUGAAGUCUCACGACUGUCACGUGCUGAUGACGCAGAUACUUCCAGUUGCAAUCCGUGGGAUCAUGGACGCGCACGUCCGUGAAACGCUAUUUGGCCUAUGCAACUUUUUCGACGUCAUCUCUCGGAAGUUUGUUGGCGUGAGGCAACUCAGAAGGCUACAGGAAGAGAUCGUGGUGAUACUAUGCGAGCUUGAGAUGUACUUCCCGCCCGCAUUCUUCGACGUUAUGGUGCAUCUGCUGGUCCAUAUCGUGGACGAUAUCAUCCAACUCGGGCCGACGUUCCUGCACAGCAUGAUGCCGUUCGAAAGGAUGAAUGGUGUCAUCAAAUGA
rnacentral:rRNA from 1 species